AUGAACGCUGGCGGCGUGCCUAAUACAUGCAAGUCGAGCGAACAGACGAGGAGCUUGCUCCUCUGACGUUAGCGGCGGAUGGGUGAGUAACACGUGGAUAACCUACCUAUAAGACUGGGAUAACUUCGGGAAACCGGAGCUAAUACCGGAUAAUAUAUUGAACCGCAUGGUUCAAUAGUGAAAGACGGUUUUGCUGUCACUUAUAGAUGGAUCCGCGCCGCAUUAGCUAGUUGGUAAGGUAACGGCUUACCAAGGCAACGAUGCGUAGCCGACCUGAGAGGGUGAUCGGCCACACUGGAACUGAGACACGGUCCAGACUCCUACGGGAGGCAGCAGUAGGGAAUCUUCCGCAAUGGGCGAAAGCCUGACGGAGCAACGCCGCGUGAGUGAUGAAGGUCUUCGGAUCGUAAAACUCUGUUAUUAGGGAAGAACAAAUGUGUAAGUAACUAUGCACGUCUUGACGGUACCUAAUCAGAAAGCCACGGCUAACUACGUG
rnacentral:rRNA from 1 species